UUAAGUGAUGUGUGGUUUCAAGAACAGAAAAUGUGGCAGCCCAAUGUUGAUACUGAGAUGGGAGAUCCUAGGUCUUGAUCAGUACUCAGGAGCCAUGGUGUUCUGAUGCAUUUAUGAUCCUCUGGGAGAAAAAAAAACCAACAGCUUCAGUAAGAGAUGGGCUUGCCUCUGCCACUUGGAUUUACUUUCAUGUCUCCUGGCUCCAGGAAGCUAGUUCUAAUCAAGGAUGCACACCACUCAUCAGAAUGUUACAAUUUCUAUGUGAUCUGCUGCUUCAUUUUGUUCCAUUUAAGGUUUGGGGGAAUCAGAUGGAUAGGGCAUGCACAUUUUGAAAUCUGCAGCUCUGUGGACAAUGGGUUGUACGGGAUGGAGACCACAUACAUCGCAGACAAUGCAGUGCACACAUCUUACCAUACUUUCAGCUGCUGCAGGAAUCACCCAACUGUCCGGCCCUAUGAAGAGAUAUUUCCAUCACUGCAGACCUUUCUGCACAUUCCAUCACACACAGUCUGA
rnacentral:lncRNA from 1 species